GUGCCUGUCAGGAGCCUGGAAUGCAGUGGUUGUCAUUUGUUUAUGUGUUACCUAUUGGUUUUUCGUUAAUUUUUUUUGUAUAUAGAUAAGUCCGUUAGUUUUCUCGUUUGAAUUGUUUUACAUUGUCAAUUCGGGGCCUUUUAAAACUGACUAUGCGGUAUUAGCUUUGCUCAUUGUUGAAGACGGUACGAUGACCUAUAGUUGUAAAUUUC
rnacentral:lncRNA from 1 species